rnacentral:tRNA from 1 species
GCCGAAGUGGUGGAACUGGCAGACACGCCAGAUUCAGGGUCUGGUGGGGAAUUGACCCCGUGCGGGUUCGAGUCCCGCCUUCGGCACCA